rnacentral:rRNA from 1 species
AGCAGCCGCGGUAAUUCCAGCUCCAAUAGCGUAUAUUAAAGUUGUUGCAGUUAAAAAGCUCGUAGUUGAAUUUCGGGAUCAAUUUGCUGGUCGUGCCUCUGGUACGUACUGGUAUUAUUGGUUUCUCCCUUCUGACGAACCAUGAUGUUAUUAAUUUGAUGUCGUGGAGAAUCAGGACUGUUACUUUGAAAAAUUAGAGUGUUUAAAGCAGGCAUUAGCUUGAAUACAUUAGCAUGGAAUAAUGAAACAGGACGUUUUGAUCCUAUUUUGUUGGUUUCUAGGAUUGACGUAAUGAUUAAUAGGGAUAGUUGGGGGCAUUAGUAUUCAAUUGUCAGAGGUGAAAUUCUUGGAUUUAUUGAAGACUAACUACUGCGAAAGCAUUUGCCAAGGAUGUUUUCAUUAAUCAAGAACGAAAGUU